UGAGGAAUAUUGGACAAUGGGCGCAAGCCUGAUCCAGCCAUGCCGCGUGCAGGAAGAAGCAUCUAUGGUGUGUAUCCUGCUUUUGUACGGGAAGAAACACUCCUUCGUGAAGGAGCUUGACGGUACCGUAAGAAUAAGGAUCGGCUAAUUCCGUGCCAGCAUCCGCGGUUAUACGGAGGAUCCCAGCGUUAUCCGGAAUCAUUGGGUUUAAAGGGUCCGUAGGCGGUUUAGUAAGUCAGUGGUGAAAGCCCGUCGCUCAACGAUGGAACGGCCAUUGAUACUGCUAGGCUUGAAUUAUUAGGAAGUAGAUAGAAUAUGUAGUGUAGCAGUGAAAUGCUUAGAUAUUACAAGGAAUACCAAUUGCGAAGGCAGGUUACUACGAAUGGAUUGACGCUGAUGGACGAAAGCGUGGGGAGCAAACA
rnacentral:rRNA from 1 species